rnacentral:rRNA from 1 species
UACGUAGGGUGCAAGCGUUGUCCGGAAUUAUUGGGCGUAAAGAGCUCGUAGGCGGCUUGUCGCGUCGGCUGUGAAAACUCGGGGCUCAACCCCGAGCCUGCAGUCGAUACGGGCAGGCUAGAGUCCGGCAGGGGAGACUGGAAUUCCUGGUGUAGCGGUGAAAUACGCAGAUAUCAGGAGGAACACCGGUGGCGAAGGCGGGUCUCUGGGCCGGAACUGACGCUAAGGAGCGAAAGCGUGGGGAGCGAACAGG